GUUGUUUAGUAUUUUUAAGAUGCUGAGGAAGAGAAUAUCAAGAAGAAGACUUGCAGUUUUUGUACACUGUUCAAUGAACAGAUAGUUGAAGUUCAAGAAGCAACAAAAAAAACUGGCUUACUUUAAACUAAUUAAUGUCAUACUUUCCUUGAAUCAUUCUGUUAAUGUAUGUAAUGCUCAUUAUUUUUGGACUUUGUUGUCUUUGAUGCUGUUGAAAUAAAAAUAUUCUUUUCUAU